GAUGAACGCUGGCGGCGUGCCUAAUACAUGCAAGUCGAGCGAACAGAUGAGGAGCUUGCUCCUCUGACGUUAGCGGCGGACGGGUGAGUAACACGUGGAUAACCUACCUAUAAGACUGGGAUAACUUCGGGAAACCGGAGCUAAUACCGGAUAAUAUAUUGAACCGCAUGGUUCAAUAGUGAAAGACGGUUUUGCUGUCACUUAUAGAUGGAUCCGCGCCGCAUUAGCUAGUUGGUAAGGUAACGGCUUACCAAGGCAACGAUGCGUAGCCGACCUGAGAGGGUGAUCGGCAACACUGGAACGGAGACACGGUCCAGACUCCUACGGGAGGCAGCAGUAGGGAAUCUUCCGCAAUGGGCGAAAGCCUGACGGAGCAACGCCGCGUGAGUGAUGAAGGUCUGCGGAUCGUAAAACUCUGUUAUUAGGGAAGAACAAAUGUGUAAGUAACUAUGCACGUCUUGACGGUACCUAAUCAGAAAGCCACGGCUAACUAC
rnacentral:rRNA from 1 species